UGAAACUCCGUGAGAAAGAGAAGUACGUCAGUGAGGAUUCUUAAAGAGAGUGGGAGAUAGGUGGAACUUCCAUAGAAUUUCGUGACCGAAUGGACUUUCUAGAGGCAGAGCGAACCUAUAGAAUCUAUAGCAGUAGUAUCUGACGGGUGCCCGCCGUUACAAGGGAUAGGAUAUGUUAGUAUCUGAAAAUGAGAUGCGUAUUUUCAAUACGCGAAAUCAGGUGGCAACGCGAGUGACUUCGCCCUGUGU
rnacentral:ncRNA from 1 species